rnacentral:rRNA from 1 species
AGCAGCCGCGGUAAUUCCAGCUCCAAUAGCGUAUAUUAAAGUUGUUGCAGUUAAAAAGCUCGUAGUUGAAUUUCGGGAUUAGUACGUUGGUCGUGCCUUCGGUACGUACUGGUGUUACUGAUUCCUACCUUCUGACGAACCAUCAUGUCAUUAAUUUGGUGUGGCGGGGAAUCAGGACUGUUACUUUGAAAAAAUUAGAGUGUUUAAAGCAGGCUCGCGCUUGAAUACAUUAGCAUGGAAUAAUGGAAUAGGACGUUGACCCUAUUUUGUUGGUUUCUAGGAUUGACGUAAUGAUUAAUAGGGAUAGUUGGGGGCAUUAGUAUUCAAUUGUCAGAGGUGAAAUUCUUGGAUUUAUUGAAGACUAACUACUGCGAAAGCAUUUGCCAAGGAUGUUUUCAUUAAUCAAGAACGAAAGUUAGGGGAUCGAAGACGAUCAGAUACCGUCGUAGUCUUAACCAUAAACUAUGCCGACUAGGGAUCGGAUGAUGUUAUUUUUAAUGACUCA